GAUGAACGCUAGCGGCAGGCCUACACAUGCAAGUCGAGGGGUAGAGGAAGCUUGCUUCCUUGAGACCGGCGCACGGGUGCGUAACGCGUAUGCAAUCUACCUUUUACAGAGGGAUAGCCCAGAGAAAUUUGGAAUAAUACCUCAUAGUAUCUUUGCCUGGCAUCGGGUGAUUAUUAAAGUUCCAACGGUAAAAGAUGAGCAUGCGUCCUAUUAGCUAGAUGGUAAGGUAACGGCUUACCAUGGCAACGAUAGGUAGGGGUCCUGAGAGGGAGAUCCCCCACAAUGGUACUGAGACACGGACCAGACUCCUACGGGAGGCAGCAGUGUGGAAUAGUGGACAAUGGGCGCAAGCCUGAUCCAGCCAUGCCGCGUGCAGGAAGACGGUCCUAUGGAUUGUAAACUGCUUUUGUACGGGAAGAAACACUCCUACGUGUAGGAGCUUGACGGUACCGUAAGAAUAAGGAUCGGCUAACUCCGUGCCAGCAGCCGCAGUAAGAC
rnacentral:rRNA from 1 species